AUACGUAGGGUGCGAGCGUUGUUCGGAGUUAUUGGGCGUAAAGGGCGUGUAGGCGGCUUGAGAAGUCUGGUUUGAAAUGCACUGGCUCAACUGGUGCGCUGGGUCGGAAACUGGCAGGCUAGAGUUCAUGGGGAGGAGCUGGAAUUCCAGGUGUAGGGGUGAAAUCUGUAGAGAUCUGGAAGAACACCGGUAGCGAAGGCGGGCUCCUAUGAAUGGACUGACGCUGAGGCGCGAAAGCGUGGGGAGCAAACAGGAUUAGAUACCCUGGUAGUCCACGCUGUAAACUAUGUGCACUAGGUAUGGGGUACGAGAGGUAUUCCGUGCCGGAGCGAACGCGUUAAGUGCACCGCCUGGGGAGUAUGCUCGCAAGGGUGAA
rnacentral:rRNA from 1 species